UAGGGAAUCUUCCGCAAUGGACGCAAGUCUGACGGAGCAACGCCGCGUGAGUGAAGAAGGAUUUCGGUUCGUAAAACUCUGUUGUUAGAGAAGAACAGCGCAUAGAGUAACUGUUAUGCGUGUGACGGUAUCUAACCAGAAAGCCACGGCUAACUACGUGCCAGCAGCCGCGGUAAUACGUAGGUGGCAAGCUUUGUCCGGAUUUAUUGGGCGUAAAGCGAGCGCAGGCGGUCAAUUAAGUCUGAUGUGAAAGCCCCCGGCUCAACCGGGGAGGGUCAUUGGAAACUGGUUGACUUGAGUGCAGAAGAGGAGAGUGGAAUUCCAUGUGUAGCGGUGAAAUGCGUAGAUAUAUGGAGGAACACCAGUGGCGAAGGCGACUCUCUGGUCUGUAACUGACGCUGAGGCUCGAAAGCGUGGGUAGCAAACAGG
rnacentral:rRNA from 1 species